CCUACGGGAGGCAGCAGUGAGGAAUAUUGGUCAAUGGACGAGAGUCUGAACCAGCCAAGUAGCGUGAAGGAUGACUGCCCUAUGGGUUGUAAACUUCUUUUAUAUGGGAAUAAAACGUUCCACGUGUGGGAUUUUGUAUGUACCAUAUGAAUAAGGAUCGGCUAACUCCGUGCCAGCAGCCGCGGUAAUACGGAGGAUCCGAGCGUUAUCCGGAUUUAUUGGGUUUAAAGGGAGCGUAGGUGGAUUGUUAAGUCAGUUGUGAAAGUUUGCGGCUCAACCGUAAAAUUGCAGUUGAAACUGGCAGUCUUGAGUAAAGUAGAGGUGGGCGGAAUUCGUGGUGUAGCGGUGAAAUGCUUAGAUAUCACGAAGAACUCCGAUUGCGAAGGCAGUUCACUGGACUGCAACUGACACUGAGGCUCGAAAGUGUGGGUAUCAAACAGGAUUAGAUACCCCUGUAGUC
rnacentral:rRNA from 1 species